CUUGUUGUUGUGGUAGAAGGUUGUUGGUGUUCAUGCGUCCUGCUGAGUGUUUAGGAACUGAUGGACCGAGUUGUGAAUGUUGACCCGGACACACAAAAGGGUGGACGUGUGGCACUCCUUCCUGACCCUUCUGCUGUGUGGUGCGCACCUGCUGGUAUACCAGGCCUCUGGGUUGGAGGGAGGCAUAAGGUCGAGCAUGACAACCAUUACUGGUGUUGGCUGGGCAGAAGCCGUCACUUGUGCACCAAGAUGUCUUCACGUUUUAGCUCUCUGGUCUAUAGUCUCAAAUGUAAAGUAUGUUGAAUAUUUCUCCU